GUUUAAUUGGGAUAAUAUGGAACUAACAUCCAGUUUGUUAUAAACACAAAAACAACUGAUUAAGAAAAUAUGGUGUGCUUAAUUGUGGAGAGAAAGAAGUAUUGGAAGAAUUAGAACAGCAUUAGAGUCUGGCAAGAUAGAGUCAGGCAGGACUAAAGUCCCUUAAGUUCAUAUAGGACUUUAGGCAGGAAUUGAGCAAAAUGGCGCUGUCUUACCAGACUUGGUCUAGAGAGACUUUAAGGAGCAUCUGAUAAAUACACCACCUAAAGUACUUUCAGGGAAUUUUACUCAUUUUUAGCAACAUAUCGGAGAAGCUCUGUCUGAAAUUCCUUCAACUCCAUCAAAAAGCAAAAAGGUGAUAGGGACUCCAAAAAAAAAUCCAUCUAAACGCA